rnacentral:rRNA from 1 species
GUCGAGAAUCUUCCGCAAUGCGCGAAAGCGUGACGGAGCGACACCGCGUGAUGGAUGAAGUCCUUCGGGGCGUAAACAUCUUUUAUAAAGGAGGAAAUUUUUGACGUUACUUUAUGAAUAAGGGGCUCCCAAUCUCGUGCCAGCAGGAGCGGUAAUACGAGAGCCUCAAGCGUUAUCCGGAAUCAUUGGGCGUAAAGGGUGCGUAGGUGGUUUGAUUAGUCUCCCGUUAAAACUUCGAGCUUAACUCGAAAAGAGCGGGGGAAACGGUCAAACUAGAGUAUGUGAGAGGUGUGUGGAACUCAUGGUGUAGGGGUGAAAUCCGUUGAUAUCAUGGGGAACACCAAAAGCGAAGGCAGCACACUGGCACAUCACUGACACUGAGGUACGAAACCUAAGGUAGCGAAUGGGAUUAGAAACCCCGGUAGUCC